CAUGCCGUAAACGUUGGGUGCUAGACGUGGGGGCCUUUCCACGGUUUCCGUGUCGUAGCUAACGCAUUAAGCACCCCGCCUGGGGAGUACGGCCGCAAGGCUAAAACUCAAAGGAAUUGACGGGGGCCCGCACAAGCGGCGGAGCAUGCGGAUUAAUUCGAUGCAACGCGAAGAACCUUACCAAGGCUUGACAUAUAGAGGAAACGGCCAGAGAUGGUCGCCCCGCAAGGUCUCUAUACAGGUGG
rnacentral:rRNA from 1 species